AUACCCUAUUAUUUUUAGUGUAAAAUAGGAGCYUGAGUAUUAUUAGCUAUGAUCUUGAAACUUAAAGAAUUUGGCGGUAUUAUAGUCUAUUUAGAGGAAUCUGUUAUGUAAUCGAUAGUCCCCGUUGAACCUUACUUGGACUUAAUUUUUUUUUGUAUACCGCUGUUUUGUGAAUCUAUUUUUAGAUUAUUUUCUAGAUAUGAAUUAAAUAGUAUUUCAAGUCAAGGUGCAGUAAUGUGCAAGAGUAUUAAUGGAUUACAAUAAAUUUUAUUUAUAUGGAUUAUAAUUGAAAUUAUGAGUAUGAAGGUGGAUUUAAUUGUAAUUUAAUAAAGAUUGUUUGUAUGAUUUUUUUUAGCUCUAUAAUGUGUACACAUCGCCC
rnacentral:rRNA from 1 species